GAUGAAGAACGUAGCGAAAUGCGAUAAGCAAUGUGAAUUGCAGAAUUCAGUGAAUCAUCGAGUCUUUGAACGCACAUUGCGCCCCCUGGUAUUCCGGGGGGCAUGCCUGUCCGAGCGUCAUUGCUGCCCUCAAGCACGGCUUGUGUGUUGGGCCGCCGUCCCCGGUUUCCCCCGGGGACGGGCCCGAAAGGCAGCGGCGGCACCGCGUCCGAUCCUCGAGCGUAUGGGGCUUUGUCACCCGCUCUGUAGGCCCGGCCGGCGCCAGCCGACACCCAACUUUAUUUCUAAGGUUGACCUCGGAUCAGGUAGGGAUACCCGCUGAACUUAAGCAUAUCAAUAAGCGGAGGA
rnacentral:misc_RNA from 1 species